AACUAGACCUUCUAAAUUGGGUAACCCUCACUCGAUUAUUCAUCCUAACAGUCGUUGAGUCUCAAUUGUUGUCCCAAAGUGGACCAAUAAACGCCAAUGUGUGUAAAAUCAUUAGAAAAAAUACAAUAAAAAGGUGCCUAGGAAAAAAAUUCUCGAUCGAUCUUGUGCAUGUGAGGGAAAAAUAAUUGUAAAUGCCUUAAUAUGAUCAUCUGGAUGAAAGAGGAAUAAAAUUAAAAA
rnacentral:lncRNA from 1 species